rnacentral:ncRNA from 1 species
UACACUGCGCGCGCCACAGGUGUCCUGCCGCCCGCUCCAGCGAGCGCGCAGGGUGAAACGGGAAGCCGGUGCGGACGCGAGUCCCAUUCCGGCACUGCCCCCGCAACGGUAGGCGAGUUACAGCCGGCAUCGGCCACUGCGCGAACGCGCGGGAAGGCGCCGGCGGGACGCAUCCGCGUCGCUCGCGAGUCCGGAGACCGGCCUGUGGCGGACGUCGGGA